rnacentral:rRNA from 1 species
GACGAACGCUGGCGGCGUGCUUAACACAUGCAAGUCGAACGGAAAGGCCCCUUUGGGGGUACUCGAGUGGCGAACGGGUGAGUAACACGUGAGUAACCUGCCCUUGACUUCGGGAUAACUUCAGGAAACUGGGGCUAAUACCGGAUAGGAAUCCUUGCUGCAUGGUGGGGGUUGGAAAGCUUCGGCGGUUUUGGAUGGACUCGCGGCUUAUCAGCUUGUUGGUGGGGUAGUGGCUUACCAAGGCUUCGACGGGUAGCCGGCCUGAGAGGGCGACCGGCCACAUUGGGACUGAGAUACGGCCCAGACUCCUACGGGAGGCAGCGGUGGGGAAUAUUGCAAAAUGGGCGGAAGCCUGAUGCAGCAACGCCGCGUGCGGGAUGACGGCCUUCGGGUUGUAAACCGCUUUCAGCAGGGGCGAAGCUUGUGGUGACGGUACCUGCAGAAGAAGCACCGGCUAACUACGUG